rnacentral:tRNA from 1 species
GUUCCCGUAGCUCAACGGAUAGAGCAUACCCGUCCUAAGGGUGCGAUGGAGGUCCGAUUCCUCUCGGGGACG